UCAUUUAAAAUGAAAUUAUGACUAUUUGAAUAUAAUAAAAAUAUUCAAUAAAAUAUUCUAUUUUUUUAUAAAACAAUAUUUAUAGAGUUACUGGUAAAUAAUUUUUGUAGCGUAAAAGCUAAAUAAAUUCAUACAUAUUAUAAUACAAAUAACCAAAGUAUAACAUUUAAUUUACAGUGACACGUGGGCCCACGAACGACCAAAAGUAUCAAAAGCGGUAAACCUACAAUUUUUGAGGAUGCAAGUCCAACUGUAGCCCUCAACGAAAUGAGCUAUAUACCGACUAGCCUGAGCCUGAAAUAGGUGGAAAGGAGGGUGAUGAGAUUAUAUAAUCCCAGUGAGUAAACAAAUACCAUCUAAAAUAUCUAAAGUUGAGUAAAUGGAGACAGAUAAAAUAGAUUAGCAUAAAAAUGAUUCUCAGCAUUUCGAACUCAUUUUAAUAAGAUAAACUAGAUUCAUUUCACCAAAAUAAACAACGAGGCUUAUGAUUUCUUGAAAAGUUUGGCUCGUGAUAAAAUCAUUCUCAUACUCAAUUAUCAAGGAUACCUUGGCCGAGGGCUAUCCCAACCGAGUCCGCCAAGGCUGUUAAAAAGUCAUGUAUGCAUAAAUCAUAUUUUUAUUUUGAAAAUAUGCCCGUUCCUUGGCAUUGGCUGAGUUCACCCUCACAUGGUGGUUUGGCGUGAAGUGAACUCUAAAGUGUUAACCUCAAGAGUUAUCCAUCCACGCCUCUCAUACUGAGGUAAGAAUAUAAUAGGGUUACCAUGCCCCUCUAAUAGGUUGGUCCACGGAACCCGUCCACUGCAGCGACCAAUAUAUAACCCACCAAUUCACUAAAAUUUACAAUAGCAUGACAUGGCAAUUAUUUUAUUUUACAGCCUCUCAAGGCAAAUCAACAGUUCAUACAUUUUCAGCACAUUUACCAAAUCCAGUCAUUCAUGCCCACAUUAUCAUAAGCCAUUCAAUUCAAACCAUAAUUUACAACACAACAAUUAGUCUCCAAUUACUCCAUUUUCAAAACCAUCUUUCAAUUUCAAGACAAUUUUAUAAAAUCAUUUCAUUUAAUCACAUUUUGUUUAUAAAACAUAAAGAUUUACCAUUUAAACUCAUUUUCCAUAAAAUUCACAAAAAUGAAUAAAAACUACUUUAGAUAAUUAAGACGAUAGUAAGGUUACUCACUAUUUCGAGAUUCGAAUUUCGAGUACUCUGAUUCUUGAUCCUCGGGUACUAUCUCUUUACUUUUGCCAGAAAGCUCACCACCUAGACAUAAUGCACCAUAAGCCAUUUACUACAUUUGUGCUAAAUUGUUAUAAAACCAAUUCAGGCUCUAUACUAAUGCAUGAAAUGGGAUGUGAAAUACUCGGGUAACUAUCUAAAUAAGGUGUUCAAUAUAAAUUCAGUUAUGUACCUAAAUAAAACGGUAUUGACCUAAUUCGAUCUAUCACUCGAUUAAUUGGCCAAUAUAUCCAAUUCAACUCCAAAUAAUUCCAUUUUUCUCCCAAUACUCCAAAUCAUCAAACACAAAUUAAAUAACUUGAAAUAUAGCAAAAUCAUCCUCAUAUUUUCUCUUGGAAAAUUUGGCCAUGGUGGGUGCAUCAACACUAUAAUUUUUCAAGCUUGAUUCUCACACCAUAAAUCACUAAUUCCUAACCAAAUCACUUGAAAUAAAAUCAAAAUCAUCAUCAAUAUUCUACAUGGAGAAUUCGGCCAAUGAUGGGUGAUGGGAGGAAGUGAAUUUUUUUUGCUUGAUUUUCAUGCUACACAUCACCAAUCAACUAAAAACACUAAAAUACAUUGAAAUCUAACCAAAUUAAGCAUCAAAACCUCUCUCUAAGUGUUCAGCUAGCAAGAUACCCAUCAUGAAAUCAUGUGAUUCAACCAUAGAAAAUGCAAAAGAAUGUAUGGGAAAGGUAGAUCACAAGUCAAAAUCAAGAAAUUUUACCUUUGAUUGCUUGAUUACUUGAAAUCCACCAAUUUUCUCUUGAAUUUUCACCCUAGGGUUCUUGUUCUUUCUUUUCUUCCUUUUUUCUUGCUUUGGCCGG
rnacentral:lncRNA from 1 species